CUGCAGCUUAUUAAGCCGACCAGUCUGGUUGCAGUCUAGAGCUGGUGUGCAAUGGCUGCAGACAGUGACUUCUCUGGUUGUGUAUGUGCUCAGCUGUGCAGUACUGGGUGCUCUAAGGGACCUCUGAGACACUC
ensembl:snoRNA SNORA70 Small nucleolar RNA SNORA70